GAUGAACGCUAGCGAUAGGCCUAACACAUGCAAGUCGAGGGGCAUCACAUGAAGUAGCAAUACGGAUGGUGGCGACCGGCGCACGGGUGAGUAACACGUAUGCAACCUGCCUUCAACAAGGGGAUAACCCGUUGAAAGACGGACUAAUACCCUAUAACACAGGGGUCCCGCAUGGGAAUAUUUGUUAAAGGACAACCGGUUGAAGAUGGGCAUGCGUUCCAUUAGCUAGUUGGCGGGGUAACGGCCCACCAAGGCAACGAUGGAUAGGGGAACUGAGAGGUUUAUCCCCCACACUGGUACUGAGACACGGACCAGACUCCUACGGGAGGCAGCAGUGAGGAAUAUUGGUCAAUGGACGCAAGUCUGAACCAGCCACGUCGCGUGAAGGAAGACGGCCCUACGGGUUGUAAACUUCUUUUAUACGGGAAUAAAGUGCCCCACGCGUGGGGUUUUGCAUGUACCGUAUGAAUAAGGAUCGGCUAACUCCGUGCCAGCAGCCGCGGUAAUUCA
rnacentral:rRNA from 1 species